AACAAGGAUUCCCCUAGUAACUGCGAGUGAAGCGGGAAGAGCUCAAAUUUUGAAUCUGGCGGUCCUCGUGGUCGUCCGAGUUGUAAUCUAGAGAAGCGUUUUCCGCGCUGGACCGUGUACAAGUCUCCUGGAACGGAGCGUCAUAGAGGGUGAGAAUCCCGUCUCUGACACGGACUACCAGGGCUUUUGUGAUGCGCUCUCGACGAGUCGAGUUGUUUGGGAAUGCAGCUCAAAUUGGGUGGUAAAUUCCAUCUAAAGCUAAAUACAGGCGAGAGACCGAUAGCGAACAAGUACCGUGAGGGAAAGAUGAAAAGGACUUUGGAAAGAGAGUUAAACAGUACGUGAAAUUGCUGAAAGGGAAACGCUUGAAGUCAGUCGCGUUGGCCGGGGAUCAGCCUUGCAAUCUUGUUGGGUGCAUUUCCUGGUUGACGGGUCAGCAUCAAUUUUGACCGUCGGAGAAGGGUCGAGGGAAUGUGGCAUCCUUCGGGGUGUGUUAUAGCCUUUGAUCGUAUGCGACGGUUGGGAUUGAGGAACUCAGCAUGACCCCUCGUGGGUUUGGGGCUUCGGCUCACAUCCAUGCUUAGGAUGCUGGCAUAAUGGCUUUAAGCGACCCGUCUUGAAACACGGACCAAGGAGUCUAACAUGCCCGCGAGUGUUUGGGUGUUUAAAACCCGAGCGCGUAAUGAAAGUGAAAGUUGAGACCUCUGUCGUGGAGGGCAUCGACGCCCGGACCAGAACUUUUGUGACGGCCCUGCGGUAGAGCGUGUAUGUUGGGACCCGAAAGAUGGUGAACUAUGCCUGAAUAGGGUGAAGCCAGAGGAAACUCUGGUGGAGGCUCGUAGCGAUUCUGACGUGCAAAUCGAUCGUCGAAUUUGGG
rnacentral:rRNA from 1 species